rnacentral:rRNA from 1 species
CGUGUAGGCGGCUUGGUAGGUCUUGCGUCAAAACCUGAGGCUCAACCUCAGUUCGCGUGGGAAACCAUCUAGCUAGAGUCCGGAAGAGGAGAACGGAAUUCCCAGUGUAGCGGUGAAAUGCGCAGAUAUUGGGAAGAACACCAGUGGCGAAGGCGGUUCUCUGGGACGGUACUGACGCUGAGACGCGAAAGCGUGGGGAGCGAACA